AGUGAACGCUGGCGGUAGGCCUAACACAUGCAAGUCGAACGGCAGCACAGUAAGAGCUUGCUCUUACGGGUGGCGAGUGGCGGACGGGUGAGGAAUACAUCGGAAUCUACUUUUUCGUGGGGGAUAACGUAGGGAAACUUACGCUAAUACCGCAUACGACCUACGGGUGAAAGCAGGGGAUCUUCGGACCUUGCGCGAUUGAAUGAGCCGAUGUCGGAUUAGCUAGUUGGCGGGGUAAAGGCCCACCAAGGCGACGAUCCGUAGCUGGUCUGAGAGGAUGAUCAGCCGCACUGGAACUGAGACACGGUCCAGACUCCUACGGGAGGCAGCAGUGGGGAAUAUUGGACAAUGGGCGCAAGCCUGAUCCAGCCAUACCGCGUGGGUGAAGAAGGCCUUCGGGUUGUAAAGCCCUUUUGUUGGGAAAGAAAAGCAGCUGGUUAAUACCCCGCUGUUCUGACGGUACCCAAAGAAUAAGCACCGGCUAACUUCGUG
rnacentral:rRNA from 1 species